GAAUAUGGCCAUACUGCCCUACAGUUGGAGGUUGAUGGAUACGACUUCCCAUCCGAACAGCGAAGUUAAGCUGCGCCAGGCGGUGUUAGUACUGGGGUGGGCGACCACCCGGGAAUCCCCCGUGCCGUAUCCU
rnacentral:rRNA from 1 species